rnacentral:rRNA from 1 species
AGGUAAGAGGUACGUACAGGGGUAGGAGUGAAAUCUUGUAAUCCCCUGUGGGACCACCUGUGGCGAAGGCGUCUUACCAGAACGGGUUCGACGGUGAGGGACGAAAGCUGGGGCACGAACCGGAUUAGAUACCCGGGUAGUCCCAGCCGUAAACGAUGCUCGCUAGGUGUCAGGCAUGGCGCGACCGUGUCUGGUGCCGCAGGGAAGCCGUGAAGCGAGCCACCUGGGAAGUACGGCCGCAAGGCUGAAACUUAAAGGAAUUGGCGGGGGAGCACAACAACGGGUGGAGCCUGCGGUUUAAUUGGACUCAACGCCGGACAACUCACCGGGGGCGACAGCAAUAUGUAGGCCAAGCUGAAGACUUUGCCUGAAUCGCUGAGUAGUGGUGCAUGG